rnacentral:rRNA from 1 species
GAUGAACGCUAGCUGGAGGCUUAAUACAUGCAAGUCGAGCGGGAUUGGUAGCAAUACCAUGAGAGCGGCGCACGGGUGAGUAACGCGUACACGACCUACCUCUGACAGGGGGAUAGCCCUGGGAAACUGGGAUUAAUACCGCAUAUUAUUCUGAUUAAUAAAGGAUUGGAAUGAAAGUUCAGGCGGUCAGAGAUGGGUGUGCGUCUGAUUAGCUAGUUGGUGGGGUAACGGCCUACCAAGGCGAUGAUCAGUAGGGGGCGUGAGAGCGUGGUCCCCCAAACAGGUACUGAGACACGGACCCGACGCCUACGGGAGGCAGCAGUAGGGAAUAUUGGAGAAUUGCCGCAAGGCUGAUCCAGCCCUCCAGCGUGCAGGAAGAAGGCCCUAUGGGUUGUAAACUGCUUUUAUCAGGGAAGAAACCUCUGGAUUUACUCCGGAGCUGACGGUACCUGAAGAAUAAGCACCGGCUAACUCCGUGCCAGCCGCCGCCGUAACAC